UACAUUUUUGCCUAACAGUUAAGUAUUUUAUUCAAUGAAAGAUAUAAGUGAUGGAUUUAAAUUUAUUUCAUCAAAUCAAUAUUGGUUUCAUGUCAAUUCAGUGAAACUUUUAUCGCGAAUUCAUUAUGACACAACUCAAAUCACGGAUAUAGCGAAACGAUUUCGCGACAUAUAUCGCGAAGAUAUUAUAGCGCAAUAUCGCGCUAAUUGCUAAUAGUUACUAUUUUAUUUUGAAACAUUUAUCUAUAUGAUCCUAUUAAUUGAAUCAAUGAUUAAUGAACUUAGAUUUAGUUUAUAAAAAAUUUUAUUGGAAUAAAAUUUUCCUGAUAUCCUGUCCUAUUUUUCUUCGAAGUUUUAUUAAGAAGAGCGACAAGGAGUCCAGGGGUGGAGGUUAAACAUUAUUCCAAAAAAAUAUCUAGACAAGAGUAUCAAAUGAAGACAAUAAAAUGAUUUUGAGUAUUUCAAAAUUAUACAUCCCUCUAUCUUGGCCUCGCAUCAAGGGUUGGAGAGAUUUAAUUCUUUUACAAGAAAUAUCUAACAAGGACAUAUGAAAGCGAAUAAAAAUAUCUUUUCAAUGCUAUUAUCCCUCUGGGUUCUAAUGACAAAAUAUUUAAAUUUUAAAGUAACGAAAUAUAGGAAGAUUCUAGAUUUCACUUGAGGAAUAGAAUAUACAUCAAACCGAUAUCCUACUUUAGUGGAACAACAAGAAAAAAGUCUUCCAAUUUAGCUAGAAAAAUAUUGGCCAGCAACAAGUGCUCUUAUGAACGAGGAUUUAGUAUUGCUGAAAUUAGAAAAAGAAGAUUGUGUUUGAAUCCAAAAAAUGAAG